AAGACUAUACUUUCAGGGAUCAUUUCUAUAGUUCAUUACUAGAGAGCAGUCUCUGCCAAUGAGCAGAAACAAAGUAUAGAGAUUAAAGAACAAUUGAACAUUCCACUAGUGACAGUGACUUUCACAAACCAUGAGUGGU
rnacentral:snoRNA from 1 species